UACGAAGGGGGCGAGCGUUGUUCGGAUUUACUGGGCGUAAAGGGCGCGUAGGCGGCCAUUCAAGUCAGGCGUGAAAGCCCCGGGCUCAACCUGGGAGGUGCGCUUGGGACUGGGUGGCUGGAGUUCGGGAGAGGAGAGUGGAAUUCCCAGUGUAGAGGUGAAAUUCGUAGAUAUUGGGAAGAACACCGGUGGCGAAGGCGGCUCUCUGGGACGGUACUGACGCUGAGACGCGAAAGCUAGGGGAGCAAACGGG
rnacentral:rRNA from 1 species